UAUAAAGUCUUUAUAAGAGCGCAACAAGCAUUUUACUUUUGUCCUACUUUGCGGCUAUAUUAUUGACUGACUUUUAAAGACAUUGUUUAUUUGUAUUUAUUCGAUUGUUUUAGAGUGUAAAAUAAAGAAAUAACUUAAACUCCACAUGUUAAAAAAAUAGCUCAUUUAUGGCCCUUGUUUUUAUACUCUUGCCGUGUUUUCAUGACCUUAUUUAUGACCUUAUUUAGAAAUUGUUGAGCACUUUACAUUAUUUCUCAGGCAAGAAAGUACAAAGUGAACGUAUCCUUAUUAUAAUUUCUAUAAAUAUUUGAUCAACACUUUCAGGGUUAAAGUUCUACAUUCCUGCUUUGUUUAUUACCAGAGGCAAAGAAUGAAAUUACUUCCGCUUUAAAGCCUAGCACUCUCAUCAAAGACUAACAAUAAAGAACGUCAAGAACGGAAGAUGAAUAGCUAGAUAGUGUAAGAUAACUUUAAAUACUUAGAUGCUGCGGUCUCAGUUGAAGGUUCUAGGUUAGGGGGCGGCAACAUGCGGCUCUUUGG